GUUCCUUCAGGGACAUCCAAUAUAAUUGGAACAAUACAGAGAAGAUUAGUUUGAUCCUGCGUAAGAUGACCCUCACAAAUCGUGAAAUUGUUCAAUUUAUU